rfam:Feline leukemia virus, subgroup A (FeLV-FAIDS), complete nucleotide sequence.
UAGGAGAGUCAGGGCCAGGACCCCCCCCCUGAGCCCAGGAUAACCUUAAAAAUAGGGGGGCA